rnacentral:rRNA from 1 species
ACUCAAAGGAAUUGACGGGGACCCGCACAAGCGGUGGAACAUGUGGUUUAAUUCGAUGCUACGCGAAGAACCUCACCCAGGCUUGACAUAUAGGAAGUAGUGAACUGAAAGGGGAACGACCCGUUAAGUCGGGAACCUAUACAGGUGCUGCAUGGCUGUCGUCAGCUCGUGUCGUGAGAUGUUGGGUUAAGUCCCGCAACGAGCGCAACCAUUGCCUGAUGUUGCCACCAUACUUCGAUCCUUCGGGAUUUUGUAUGCGCACUCUUCAGGGACUGCCCGGGAUAACCGGGAGGAAGGUGGAGAUGACGUCAAGUCAGUACGGCCCUUAUGCCUGGGGCUACACACGUGUUACAAUGGCUGGUACAAAGGGUUGCCAACCCGUAAGGGGGAGCUAAUCUCAAAAAACCAGCCCCAGUUCGGAUUGAAGUCUGCAAUUCGACUUCAUGAAGCCGGAAUCGCUAGUAAUGGGAGAUCAGCUCGCUCCCGUGAAUACGUUCCCGGGUCUUGUACACACCGCCCGU